CAAUCAUUCAGGGAUCCAUGGAUCCUCACACGUAGAAGAAGAAACCGAGGAUCAUUUUCUUGAGUAAUCACGGAAACAAUGAUGAUAAGGACCAUGUUUAUUCGGUAAAUAGAUUGACGCGGAUUGAAUCAAGAGUGGUACUUAAUACCGUCAUGUUUGAAAGACAUCCUACAAUUCAUAUUUUGCAGACAAUGGCAGUAUCUGGGAAUGAUUUUUUUUCACAUUUGGAAUGAGAUGCAGUUGCAAUGAAGAUUUGAAAAUUUGCAUAGUACCAGUACUUAGAUUUUUUAUGGGAUGCAAGUGAUAGGGGAUCAAAACAUGGAUCCUUCUGCCAUGUUUCAUGGAUGCCAGGAGCCUUUCCAUAGUCUUUAGUGCAAUACGACUUUCUUCAAGGAAAGUACCUGACAGUGAUGAAUUGAAACGCUUUAUUUUGUCAAGGGAUCAAACAUGCAACCUUCUACCAGGAUUCAUGGAAUGUUGGUAGCCUUUCAAUUCAAGUUUAUUCAAGUUAAAACGUUCA